UACGAAGGGGGCUAGCGUUGCUCGGAAUCACUGGGCGUAAAGGGUGCGUAGGCGGGUCUUUAAGUCAGGGGUGAAAUCCUGGAGCUCAACUCCAGAACUGCCUUUGAUACUGAGGAUCUUGAGUCCGGGAGAGGUGAGUGGAACUGCGAAUGUAGAGGUGAAAUUCGUAGAUAUUAGCAGGAACACCGGUGGCGAAGGCGGCUAUCUGGACGACAACUGACGCUGAGGCGCGAAAGCGUGGGGAUCAAACAGG
rnacentral:rRNA from 1 species